CCCAACUAUCCCUAUUAAUCAUUACGGCGGUCCUAUUCUAUUAUUCCAUGCUAAUGUAUUCAGACGAUAGUCUGCUUUAAACACUCUAAUUUUUUCAAAGUAACAGUCCUGAUUUCCCAUCACACCAAAUAAAUGGCAUGAAAGUUCCUCAGAAGGUAGAGAUCCAUCUCACCAGUGCAGACAAUUAAGCCUGACCAAUGGGUAGACCCCGAGGUUCAACUACGAGCUUUUUAACUGCAACAACUUUAAUAUACGCUAUUGGAGCUGGAAUUACCGCGGCUGCUGGCACCAGACUUGCCCUCCAA
rnacentral:misc_RNA from 1 species